rnacentral:rRNA from 1 species
GUUAAGUGACUAAGCGUAUACGGUGGAUGCCUUGGCAGUUAGAGGCGAUGAAGGACGUGUAAGUCUGCGAAAAGCUGUGGUGAGCCGACAAAAUGCAUUUGAGCCACAGAUGUCCGAAUGGGGAAACCCACCUAUUUAUAGGUAUCGUUACAUGAAUAUAUAGUGUAACGAGGCGAACGAGGGGAACUGAAACAUCUAAGUACCCUUAGGAAAAGAAAUCAACCGAGAUUCCCCUAGUAGCGGCGAGCGAACGGGGAUUAGCCCUUAAGCAAUUAUGAACGUAGUGGAAGCCUCUGGGAAGUGGCGCGAUACAAGGUGAUAGCCCUGUACACGAAGUGUUUGUUUUUGUGAAAUCGAGUAGGUCGGGACACGUGUUAUCUUGACUGAAUAUGGGGGGACCAUCCUCCAAGGCUAAAUACUCCUAACUGACCGAUAGUGAACCAGUACCGUGAGGGAAAGGUGAAAAGCACCUCUGUCAGAGGAGUGAAAAAGUUCCUGAAACCGUACGCCUACAAGCGGUCGGAGCAUAUAUAUAUGUGACGGCGUGCCUUUUGCAUAAUGAACCUACGAGUUACCAUGUCCAGCGAGGUUAAGGGGUUGAGCCCCGUAUCCGUAGUGAAAGCGAGCCUAAAUAGGGCGUAUAGUUGGAUGGGGUAGACGCGAAACCAAGUGAUCUACACUUGCCCAGGUUGAAGUCCGGGUAACACCGGAUGGAGGACCGCACGGAUAAGCGUUGAAAAGCUUCCCGAUGAGGUGAGUGUAGGAGUGAAAGGCCAAUCAAACUUGGAGAUAGCUCGUACUCCCCGAAAUGCAUUUAGGUGCAGCGUCGCGUGGUCCCUGGUGGAGGUAGAGCUACUGGAUGGCCGAUGGGCCCUGUGGGUUACUGACGUCAGCCAAACUCCGAAUGCCAUUAGGUGUAGCGUGGCAGUGAGACUGCGGGGGAUAAGCUUCGUAGUCGAGAGGGAAACAGCCCAGAUCAUCAGCUAAGGCCCCUAAGCGUACGCUAAGUGGGAAAGGAUGUGGAGUCGCGGUGACAACCAGGAGGUUGGCUUAGAAGCAGCCAUCCUUGAAAGAGUGCGUAAUAGCUCACUGG